GAAACCGCCACUUUCGGAUUGCGAGACAUUUUUGGGACACCCUGUUAGAAUCCUAUCGCGACUAUCUCAGUGUACGGUCACGACGAUAUAUGCCGGCGGAUAAAAUAAUUGUACAAUGCAACCGCUGUUUUCUGUACGAAGUACGCUGUCUUUUAACAGAGGUAACCGCUGUCUGUUGUAACCGAUGACAGGAGAAACGUGUGCGGCAAUGUCGGAUUACGAACGUCUACCGUGCGACGGUGAAACGAUUCGAUGUAAAACCGCUUUUUACGGCAUCGUCCGACAGAAACGAUCGAUCUCCGUUUCCAGCAGCGUGUGAAACUAGAAUACUAACUGCACCGUGAUCAAGAGCAGCGACUCCAUCGCGGUCUCGAGAGCCUUCAUCUCGGCCUCGAUCACCUCCGGCGUUCUCUCGGAGUCCGGCGCCGGCUGCGGAGGCUCGUACCGUCUCGAGAACACGGCGAACCGCGGUUCCUUCGGCAGUUCCACUGGAAAUUUCGUGCACGGUACGUGUAGCACGAGAGUAGGUCUCCUAAAACGUUGUACUCACGGGUAGUCAAACUAGUGUCCUCCCCGAGAUCCUUCGGCUGCGGCGGCUGAUGGAUCAGAUCUACGCGGAACACGCCGCCGAGGACGGUGUAUUUCCUUAGGUUCACCUCGUUCUUGCCGCACCGAGUGAACAGCAACUUGCGCACCUCUUUCCUGUUCUCCUCUGAAACGGGAGAAGCUGUCCUCUCGAAAGGAAAAAUCCCAGAACCCGUGUACAGUUAGAAUUCCAGCCGAGAAGACCAACCUUCCCGCUGUCUGACGACCUCGUUGGGCGUCGGUAGAUAUGGCAGCAACUCCCCGUCCGUGGGCAAGAAUCUAUCCAAGGUCUGCUCGAACUCCGACGCAUUAUUCUUGGCGGACUUUGGCCUCUUUUGCUUCUUGCCGCGCUUCCCUCCCCUGCGGGCGCUCGGCAGAGCCGGCGGAUUCUCUAUUUUCUCUAGUAUAGUCUUCUUCUCGUCCAGUCGCAGCCGGCGUUCUUCGGCCUGCUCCUCCCAGAUCCGAAGCUUCUCGCGAUAUUCCGUUCUCGCGAACUCGAGCAGAUCUGGAGCUCAAUAGCCGACACAUUUUUAUUGAGGAAACCUGUUCCGAGCUAUGAAAAACGUACCGGGGGGCUUGUCCCAGGAAUUUCGGAGCUCCGCCGGCAAGUCCGGUACGCGACGGGACUCGGUCUCGACGGAAUAGUGAUCGUAAGCCAGCCAGAGCCCGCGGAUCGCCAUGCGAUGGCAGUCCAAGUCGACCGGCAGCUUGACCGUCAGCUUGAUCUCGUCGAACGCCACCUCGAUCGCCUUUCUGUGUGCCCCGAAGACGAUGGAACGACCGUGCAAAGGCAGAACGAUCGGCGCCCACACGCAGCACACCAUCUGGACGGACUCGCGCACGUAUCUGGUCGUCUUCAUGUCCUCCCUCGUCAUGUUCGCCUCGAUGUUGCGCAGCAAUCGGUAGCAAGCGAGGUCGAUCCAGCUCUGAAGUUUGAGGACUCUCGACACUCACCGAUUCGUAUUCGUCGCCGUGCUUCUUGGAAAAGUUGUCGGAGAACCGGACGAUCCUCUGCAGCUUGGCCAUCAACUGUAAGGAAACGCGAGAUGCAUACGAUUUUCUGGUUUUCGGUCUCGGUUUUCCGGCUCGAGGUGCACCUACGUCGGUGAUCACGUUGCAGAUUCCCGUAACCGUGUCCAUGUUCGCGUCCUUGUUCUCCAUCGUCCAGACGAAGAGGAACGUGUUCAGGUCGGACAACGAGCCGGGAUCCGGGAGUCCGUCGCAGGUCAUGUACCUGUCCCACUGAAAGUCAUCGAAAAUGCAAGCUCCCCCGAUCGCGCAAUGAUUCUCGAUCGUUUCGCGCAGAGGUACCAACGUUCUCCUGCUCCUGCAAGUUACGAGCGUCUUCGACGAACGCCGUCCAAUGACGGUCGAGAACCGCCCUGGUCUCGCCCAGCUGGGUCUCGUACUUCUUCAAUUGCUGCUCCUCCUGCUGCUUGCACUGCAUCUGGUUGUACUGUUCCAAUCGGAUCUCCUCUUGCAUGUCCUUUAUCAUCUUCUGCCUGGAAAAAGGAAAUCGUUUGGAGAACGAUCUCUCGGCGUGUGCACCGAGAAUCCGUCUACCUGAUGUUCUCGACCGGCUCCUCGCCGUCGGCCACACCGUCGCCCUUGCCCUCUUCGAUGGUAGGGCUAGCUUUCGGCGAGGCUUUUCGCACUUUUCGCGCCAUGCUUCUGGAUCCGGCAGUCGCAGCCGUUCUCGCUAACGUCUUCUGCGCGGAUCGCGAUCAAAAGUGAGUUCGUCGGUGUCUUCACCGAAGCGCGGUGCAACUGAAAUUAACCUGAAUCUCUCGCCACCUGUCCAGCUGGAACGCGCAAGUUUUCCCGAUGGGAUUAGAUGAACGAGCACAGAAUCGUCGACUUGUUUAGUUCCCGUUCUACCAGAGACAGGAUCCGACGAGGUUUCUUCAACGUCUCGCCGAACUCUUUUCUCAAGGUUCUGUGCCGCGUCCUCGACUCCAUCUCCUGGUACUCUUCCAUCUCCUCAUCGCCGUACAUCGUCGAGUAACUCCAUUUUCCCGGGGAUCGUUCGCCGAUGGAUUCCCUAAAAUAUCGGAAUUCGGGUGUCGAUUUCUCUAGGAUAUCGUUGGACCUACAAAGCACGCUGCUGAUCAGAUAUAUCCGAGAACGUCAGAGGCGCGAACAGCAACUGGUCUCGGCUGUCCUGCGAGGUGGUUUGCUCGGAAGAUGAAGCCAGGGUUUCGCUAGUAGCUUCCAUGAUCGUGAAUCGGUUCUUCGGGAUCCGUUGCGAUCGAAUUACCGCCAUGCGAUCGAAACACGAGACAGUGCGCUCCGAACUUGCGGUGACACGUGCUUCUGUCGGCAAUAUUCUCGUCGAUGCUAUCGUACAUGUCGCAUGCUUUCUAAAUGGUUUGUGUACACAGUUACGCACAAAAUUGAGCGUUCAAAACGCGAUAACUUUUUUAAAAUUGGGCCAAGCGACUUGAAUCUUUUUCAGAUGAUAGAGGGACAAGUUUACUAAACGAUGAUUAAAAUACUGUAUUUUAAUUUUGCUAUUACCUGGAACGACAACAGAAGAUAAAAAACUGUAGUUUUUCAACUUUUUAUCCGAGCCUGUGUCAAAAAUUUUAAAAAAUGCUUUCCGCAGAUCUCGGUAACUUGUA